GCUUGUGUAGCACAAAGGUAGUGCAGCGGUAUCGUAAACCGCAGGUUGCAGGUUCGAUUCCUGUCACAAGCUCCA
rnacentral:tRNA from 1 species